GUUGGAAGGGACCUUAAAGCUCACCCAGUUCCAAUCCCCUGCCAUGUGCAGGGACACCUUCCACUAGAGCAGGUUGCUCAGUGCUGCAGUAUGAAGCAAGCAAAGCGUGUUCGAACAGCCAGUGAUUUUUGCUCCAAGCCAUGUGUGUAUCCAAAAGGGCUUCCAAAAAUCCUUCUUGCUGCAGCCCACUUGUGAAUUAAUGAACAAAUCUGGGUGGGGAAAUAAAGAUAGCUAUGGCGUACAGCGAUUAAAAUCCUUCCCCCUGCCACUCCCCGCGGAAAGAAGAGCUAUUUGAAGGGUGGGUGAGUGUAUUUAAUCAGGGGAAAAGGGCGGAGCGAUUGCUCUGCGAUCCGCUCAUCGGGGCUGCCGCACCGCCCUUCACCUUUGAAGCGGGAGGUGGCAGCGAUUGGUCAGGCCUGAGUCCAACAUGGCAGCCACCGCGACCAGCAACCCGUCUCAGCUGCUGCCGCUCGGUAAUGGGUGAGCUUGUGGACAAAUGUAUAGGCUCCCGCAUUCAUAUUGUGAUGAAAAGUGAUAAAGAAAUUGUUGGAACACUUCUAGGAUUUGAUGACUUUUGAGAUUACACCUGAGGGCAGAAGAAUCACAAAACUAGACCAGAUUUUGUUAAAUGGAAGUAUCAGAACAAUGCUGGUUCCUGGAGGAGAAGGACCUGAAGUAUAAAUCGAUACAGUUGUCAUCUAUGAAGAUACAUAUAUAUAUAUAUAUGUAUAGAAUAUAAUAUAAAUAGAGCUUUUGGGGUAUGGGUGUGUUUGUUGGUUGUUUAUUUUGUUUACGCGCUCUUGCAGUUGAUAUUUGAUAACAGGGAUUUCCUCUUCAGGAAAGGUGCGCUGCUAAUGAUGAUGCUGACUUUGUCAGUUGAAAUCAUUACCUUUUUGUAAUGAUGCACUAAUCUGUCCUGAAUGAAAGGCUUUCUUUUAGUUA